rnacentral:rRNA from 1 species
UACAGAGGGUGCGAGCGUUAAUCGGAAUUACUGGGCGUAAAGCGCACGUAGUCGGCUUUUGCAAGUCGGUUUGUGAAAUCCCCGGGCUCAACCUGGGAACUGCAUCCGAGACUGCAUUGCUAGAGUAUGGGAGAGGGAAGCGGAAUUUCUGGUGUAGCAGUGAAAUGCGUAGAUAUCAGAAGGAACAUCAGUGGCGAAGGCGGCUUCCUGGACCAAUACUGACGAUCAGGUGCGAAAGCGUGGGGAGCGAACAGG